UACGAAGGGGACUAGCGUUGUUCGGAAUUACUGGGCGUAAAGCGCACGUAGGCGGCUUUGCAAGUCAGAGGUGAAAGCCCGGGGCUCAACCCCGGAAUUGCCUUUGAGACUGCAUCGCUAGGAUUGUGGAGAGGUAAGUGGAAUUCCGAGUGUAGAGGUGAAAUUCGUAGAUAUUCGGAAGAACACCAGUGGCGAAGGCGACUUACUGGACACAUAUUGACGCUGAGGUGCGAAAGCGUGGGGAGCAAACAGG
rnacentral:rRNA from 1 species